AGCUGCGUGGUGGGCACAAAGCGAACUAUUCUUUCGCCUUUUACUAAAGAAUACCGUGUGCCCGUCGCUCCAAGUAGCAUACGCCAAUUUUUUGAGGGCCCAUCCUAUAUUGGCUG
rfam:Musa acuminata subsp. malaccensis Doubled-haploid Pahang (DH-Pahang) genomic chromosome, chr5